GUCCUGGAGCAGCAUCUCAGGCAGAUUUGUACUUCCCGCCUAGGAGAGGGGCAGAGCGGGGUCAGUUCCCUGCAGGCCUCAGGGAGAGAGGAGCGGCUGAGCCUCUUGGUAGGCGGAAACUGUGGAAGGCACCGCGGGAGUGACCCUGAGGCAGGCGGAGGCCUGCAAACAGGAGGCUAGUGGUAAUCUCCAGAGCAGAGCUGCAGCUGAGGAUCCAGAGUGAGGGAGUCCACAAGGCCUGAGAGAAUCUCUGGAGUAUAGUUUUCCAACAGAGGAUCUGGAGGAGGGCCUGAAGGAAAAACU